rnacentral:rRNA from 1 species
AUUGAACGCUGGCGGCAUGCCUUACACAUGCAAGUCGAACGGUAACAGGUCUUCGGAUGCUGACGAGUGGCGAACGGGUGAGUAAUACAUCGGAACGUGCCCGAGAGUGGGGGAUAACGGAGCGAAAGCUUUGCUAAUACCGCAUACGAUCUACGGAUGAAAGCAGGGGACCGCAAGGCCUUGCGCUCAUGGAGCGGCCGAUGGCAGCUUAGGUAGUUGGUGGGGUAACAGCUUACCAAGCCGAGGAUCUGUAGCUGGGCUGAGAGGACGACCAGCCACACUGGGACUGAGACACGGCCCAGACUCCUACGGCAUGCAGCAGUGGGGAAUUUUGGAUAAUGGGCGCAAGCCUGAUCCGGCCAUGCCGCGUGGAGGAUGAAGGCCUUCGUGUUGUAAACUGCUUUUGUACGGAACGAAAAGCCUCUUUCGAAUAAAGAGAGGUCAUGACGGUACCGUAAGAAUAAGCACCGGCUAACUACGUGGCAGCCGCCGCCGUAA